AUUUAGGUGUUUACAGAAAAAAAAAAAAAAAAAAAAAUUUCAUUAGAAAAAAAAACUACACUAACUUGCCUUUUUUUUUUUUAGAGCAUCACAGCGUAUAUAUACACACAAUUUAAUUUUGAGGUAGGAAGUACCUGACAUGAGGUGCGUCUUGGUAUAAGUGUGGCAGCUCUGCAGGCCAGGGAAUCCCCGGAAAGGACAACGCCUACACGCCCAGUUCAAAAUGGUCAGACCAUAGGUGUCUUGUUGGAAGGUAACUUACCAAAGGAGCUAAGGACGUACGCAAUGAAAGCAGCCGCUAGAAUCAGAAACCGGUGCUACAACUAUAGAAUUGGCAAAAACCUAUUAAAGUUGUGAUGGGACACAAACCUAACCUUAGUGGUAUGCAGAUAUUCGGAACUGUUUGUUUCGCAUAUCUACAGAAGAAACAGAAGUUUGAUACACGUUGUGUAAGAGGAACAUUUGUAGGAUAUGUUGAUGAGAGUCCAACAUAUCUUGUAUAUUUUCCUUUGAAAAAAAAAAAAAAAAUUAAGUAAUGAGAGUAAGAUGUGUAAGGUUCAUAAAGAAGUUUUGGCAAGGAAAUGAAAAGAAUGAUAAGCAUGUGUAUUCUGAAUCAAAACCGCAGGAAACAGAAGAGGUAGAAAUAGAGAAAAACUGCAAACGGGGAGAAUGCUCAGAAAAAAAGCAAAGAAGAUAUUCCCAGAGGCAGAAAAAUAAACUUAUUAUUUGAAAGACUAUGUUUUUGAAGAUUAUGUUGAAAAUGGUGCAUAUUGUUUGGUUGAUUAUUGAUGCAAAGUUCCUGAUAUUCCACAAACUCAUGAAGAAGCUAUCCUGUCCAAAGAAUCUGACCAGUGGAAGAGAGCUAUGGAAGAAGAAAUUCAGUCUUUGGAGGACAAUUAUACAUAUGAGUUGACAUCUUUGCCUGAAAGAAGAUCAGUAGUAGGUGGAAAGUGGGUUUACACAGUGAAGAGUAAUCCUGAAAGUGGAGAAAAGUUUAAAGCACGAUAUGUGGCAAAAGGGUAUUCUAAAGCACAGGGUGUUGAUUUCCAAGAAACAUUUUCACCAACAGCUCAGCUUACAUCUAUUAGAAUAUUAAUGCAGUUAGCAGCAUAGAAUCAUAUGAUUAUCAAUUAGAUGAAUGUAAAGCCCGCAUAUUUAAAUGCUGACGUAGAUUGUGAGAUAUAUCUUGAGUAACCAAAAGGCUUUGUUAAAACUAAUGAAGGGGGAGAUAAACUAGUGUGCAGGCUCAAAAGUCACUGUAUGAUCUAAAACAUAGUGGGAGGAAUUGCAAUAAUUUACUGCAUGGGUGUUUAAUUAAAGGUUUUGCUCAGCCAUAUGCUGAUUAUUGUUUGCAUACUAAACAAGGAAUAAGACAGAUUUUGUUUUGGGUAUAUAUUAUUGCAGCCAGUAACAAUAUAGCUCUAAACAGUAUCAAGGAAUUUCUUAAAGAUAGAUUUCUUAAAGAUAGAUUUCUUGAGGAUAGUGUGCGUGAGUGUGUAUGUGCGUGUCUGAAUGCGUGGGCGCCGUGUGGGCGGUUGUGAGGCCCCCGUUAGCGAAAUUUGGCGGGAGAGUUGGUGUGGGUCGCGGUGCUGGGCGUGGGGACGCCAGCCCGCUGGCAGUUCUCGCUAGGAUUCAGUCCCAGGAAGGUGUGUGCAGCCCUCGCUCAUGUGGAGGGCAGCGUAGCGUCCUGCACCCGACUAAGGACGUUGAGCCAGUCUGCAAGUGUGCCGUGCGUGUGACUGUGACAUUAGGGAACUAGAAAUUGUGCCAUGACUAUGUAAUGUGCCUGCCACGUGACUGCAUGUUUCUCUUUCCAAGGUACCUUGAGGAAGUGUUCCGUCUACAGAUUACAAGGAUUCAGUAAAGUCCUGCGUCAGGCUUCCGUGUAGCCAGCGCAGGUGUAAGUGUUACGUGUGGCCACUUCUGUUUCCUGUCUACCCCCUGGAUUGCUGGGAAACGCGGCUGGUGAGUAUGUGUGCGGUGAGUAUAGCCCGACCUGCGAGUGCCGUGUAGCAGUGGAAGCAGAUGGUGACAGUGGGGUUCGUAACAAUAAGUUCUGGAUGAAAGACACGGGGAGGUUAGCAUAGUUUUUGGGAAUUGAAUUACAGAUACGAUACAGAUCGCUGUAUCAUAAUGAGAGAGGAUGCUAGAGAAAUUUAACGUGACUUAUUGUAAAACUUAAUCAAUCCCAUUUGACCAAGGUGUCCAUGUGUCAAGAUGACAAGUGAGGAUUCCAGAGAACUAGAUAACCAUAAUGUAUCAUGAAUAUGAUAUUUAUGAAAUUAUGCUUCUUGUAAGGGUUGAUCCCACGCAUAAAGUCAUUUGCUCGUUCGCUGACGUGGCAGCGUCUUGGUGAGGGCUGUGGGGCAGACUUGAGCCAGUCCUGCCGCUCUACACCCCGUGGAUGGUUCAUCUUGCUACUGUGUUAUGUCAUGUGACUACGUCUCUUGAACGCUUGGAUUUGGUGGAGCAAGGUGGCCAGGGUUUGGGACCAGUGCAAGUGAUCUCAGGACUGCUUCGGGCUCCUUAGGACCAGUGAUGUUACGCUGCAUGGUAACGGUCCGAGUGGUGACACGUGUGCAGAUUUGAAGCGGCUGUCCAGCAUUGCUUAGGACGAAACUGCUAUAGGGCCACUGAAGUAUGUAUACCUUUCAGCAUUUCCUUCCGUAUAGUGAUUAUUAUUUACAUACAUGUGCAUGGUGAAAUUAGUUCAGGGAUUUGGUACAAUAUUUUCGCUUUUUCUCGGGGAUAUUUUACCACAAUCAGCAUUGGAUCCAUGUUUUGAGGUGUAUUUGUAUCAUUAUCAUUGUGAGUUUAUUGAUUAUUGUACUGGCCAGGAUUAUAUUGUCAGUAUCAUUCUCUUAUUGUGAUGUAUUUAACAGGUUAAAAUUUAACAUUUGACAACGCUCAGCCCGGAUACUUUCGUCCAACACUUACGCUGUACAAGGAAAUUGUUGGUAAUUUGAGCUAUGUAAUGGCUGGUACAAGACCUGACCUAUGCUCUGUUGUCACUAAAUUAUCUGAACAUAUGUCAAAACCAACACAGGUACACCUUGGUUUGGCUAAGCAUGGGCACUCUUUAUUACUGUAUUAAAUUUUCUAGAUCGAUGAUCCACUGAAAUUAGUAGGGUACAGUGAUGCUGAUUGGGGUAGUAUUUCUGAGUAUACCUUCUACUUGAAUAAUUAUGGUCCAUUGAUCUCGUGGAAAAGUAAGAAAAAAUGUUGUAGCUUUGUCCACUUGUGAAGCAGAGUACAUGAUCAUAACUAAUGCAAUGCAAGAAGGGAACUUUUUUAAGACAGUUGUAGUAUGACAUGAAUGACCGUGACAAGCAGGUAUGUGGAUAAUCAAGGAGCAGUGGCAUUCGCUAAAAACCCUGUGCAGCAUCAGAGAUCAAAACAUAUAGACAUUAAGUAUCAUUACAUUAGAUCUGAGGUGGAACAGGGUAUUAGUGAUUUGAGAUAUGUUCCCACUGAAGAUAAUAUUUCUGACAUUUUCACAAAGCCAAUGUCAAAAAAUAAAUUGAUGAAAUCCAGUGUUAUUAACGGAGCAACUUAAGAUUGAGAGAAAGUUAAGAUAUAAGUACAGUAAACUUCUUGGGAAUAGAAAUUAUAUAGUAUUAUUAUCAUUGCUGUUAUUUUUAUUAUCAUUUAUUGGAAAAAUGUUUUGGCCCUUUUGUUAACUGUAUGUAACUUGGCACCUUCUUUACACUAUAGCAGUGAGACGCUCCAGCUGUGAAAGUAAACAUCGUCACUACUGGC